UUAUAGUAUUUUCAUCAGCCAUCAGCUCUUUGAUAAAAACCUGUGAAUUCUGUGAUGUAGUUUUUGUUUGAUUCAUUUGUGGUUUUUAAUUUAUCCUAAGAGCUUCUAGUAUCCCAGCAUUGUUUUCAUUUUGUCUUCAAGUGUUCAUUCUACAAGAAGCAAAACUUUUACCACUUGGUGGUGCUGGUGGAUAAUAUGAAAACCAAAUUGUUUCUGGAGCUUAUGCUGAGAAAGCUGGUUAUGAGUUCAACUUCAGGUUUCAAAUUUCUAAAAAUGCAGACUUACAAUUUUAUGAAGUAUUCAAGUAUAUCUUUCAACUGCAUAAGCAUGAAUGAAGAAUUAGUCUCUGCUACAGAUAUUUUUCGUAUUAUGUAUUACCCAAGAGCAUGUCCAUGGAUUUCUUAGGCCCGGAGUUAACCUGGGCUAUAGCGCUCCACAGGGGGUGUGAAAUGGAAUACCUACAUGGAAAGGAUUUUCUAUGAUAACACGAAAAUUUUCAGUUUUCACUUCACAUCAAAAAAGAGAACCCAGCCGUUACAUAUUCUUUGUCACAUUGGUAGGCACUUACAUUAUUAACAUCUUUGACAUGGAAAAAUAGGCAGCCUGAGGGCCCUAAAUUCUGCUUGGGUAUAGAUAAAAAGAAUAAUCACUUAACUCUAUUCUUGCACAACAACUCUUUUAAAGAUAAAGGAACAGAUGACCACAAAGCUUAUUUGUAACUGUACAUGCCCAUUCAACCUCAGGGUCAUAUGCUACUUGAUUUGAGUUUCCAUCAAUGCUUUUUAGUUAUUGUAAAUGGAUUUGAUAACAAUGAGGAUAGUGAAAAAUUGACUCAUUACAAAACGCAUGCAAAAGGGCUACACUGGACACAGUUCUAAAAAUACCAUUGACAUUAAUGGAACUCAAUCAUUCACAUAAACAAGAUUUAUCUCAAUGGAUUUAUGUAAAUUUCAAAACAUGCCCUACCAUUAGAAUUUAAACUUUUAUGCUUAUUCUGUUGAUAUUAACUAUUUUUAGCACUAAAAUGGAGUUUCUUUUUCAGUUAUAAUAUUUUAUUAUCAUUCUUUUAUUUUUGUAGAUACAGGAUAAACAAUUAUCUUUACUUGAUCAAUCAACUUUUUUCCUAAG
rnacentral:lncRNA from 1 species